rnacentral:rRNA from 1 species
UACGGAGGGUGCAAGCGUUGCUCGGAAUUAUUGGGCGUAAAGGGUAGGUAGGUGGUCUUAUUUGUCUGGGGUGAAAGCCUUGAGCUUAACUCAAGAAGUGCCCCAGAAACGGUGAGACUAGAGUCUUGGAGAGGGUCGUGGAAUUCCCGGUGUAGCGGUGAAAUGCGUAGAGAUCAGGAAGAACACCGGUGGCGAAGGCGCUCUGCUAGGCCGUAACUGACACUGAGGGACGAAAGCUAGGGGAGCGAAUGGG